rnacentral:misc_RNA from 1 species
GAGUGAGGGCCCCCGGCCCGACCUCCAACCCUUUUGUGAACCAACCUCUGUUGCCUCGGGGGCGACCCGGACCUUCGGGUGUUGGGUCCCCUCGGUGGACCAAACCAACCCUGCGUCUCUGCGUCUGAGUACAAAGUAAAUCAAUUAAAACUUUUAACAACGGAUCUCUUGGUUCU